ncrna:unclassified sequences NiCo riboswitch
ACAGUACAAACUGAGCAGGCCGCGGUUUCCUUGGAAAUCGAUCGGCCGGGUUACCGAGCGUAACAGCAGGACGAAGUUCGCGUCUCUGCGGGACAGAU